rnacentral:rRNA from 1 species
GCACUCUAAGUUGACUGCCGGUGACAAACCGGAGGAAGGUGGGGAUGACGUCAAAUCAUCAUGCCCCUUAUGAUUUGGGCUACACACGUGCUACAAUGGACAAUACAAAGGGCAGCGAAACCGCGAGGUCAAGCAAAUCCCAUAAAGUUGUUCUCAGUUCGGAUUGUAGUCUGCAACUCGACUAUAUGAAGCUGGAAUCGCUAGUAAUCGUAGAUCAGCAUGCUACGGUGAAUACGUUCCCGGGUCUUGUACACACCGCCCGUCACACCACGAGAGUUUGUAACACCCGAAGCCGGUGGAGUAACCAUUUGGAGCUAGCCGUCGAAGGUGGGACAAAUGAUUGGGGUGAAGUCGUAACAAGGUAGCCGUAUCGGAAGGUGCGGCUGGAUCACCUCCUUU